AACAGGAUCCCUACUACGGCGAGUGAAGCGGGAUGAGCUCAAAUUUAAAAUCUGGCUGCCUCAGGUGGUCCGAGUUGUAGUCUCGAGAAAGUGUUUUCCGCGUUGGCCUGUGUACAAGUCCUUUGGAAUAAGGCGUCAUAGAGGGUGAGAAUCCCGUCCUUGACACAGAUCCCCAAUGCUUUGUGAUGCGCUCUCAAAGAGUCGAGUUGUUUGGGAAUGCAGCUCAAAAUGGGUGGUAAAUUCCCAUCUAAAGCUAAAUAUUGGCGAGAGACCGAUAGCGAACAAGUACCGUGAGGGAAAGAUGAAAAGCACUUUGGAAAGAGAGUUAAACAGUACGUGAAAUUGUUGAAAGGGAAACGAUUGAAGUCAGUCAUGCUCGUAGGGAUUCAACCGGUUCUGCCGGCCUAUUUCCCUACUUGCAGGCCAGCAUCAGUUUUGACCGGUGGAAAAGGUUGGAGGGAAUGUGGCAUCCUCGGAUGUGUUAUAGCCCUCUUUCGCAUACAUCGGUUGGGACUGAGGAACGCAGCACGCCUUUAUGGUCGGUCUUCGGACACGUACGUGCUUAGGAUGCUGGCAUAAUGGCUUUUAAACGACCCGUCUUGAACGGGGG
rnacentral:rRNA from 1 species